AUGUGCUAUACAAAUACUUUUUUGGUGUCUACCGCGUACGCAUACGAUUGGGGGUGUUUC
rnacentral:misc_RNA from 1 species